rnacentral:rRNA from 1 species
AUGGGUGGCUGUGGAGGCCUUGCAUCCUUGUCAAUUGGUCAUCUGACCUCCCUUGCAUCAUUAAGACUAGUAGAUCUCCCUGAUCUGUGCUUUAUUGAAGGACUGUCUUUCCUGCAACUUCACAGCGUAUAUUUAAAAGAUGUCCCGAAGCUCAAAGCGAAGUGCAUCUCACAGUUUCGGGUGCAGAAAUCACUCAGUGUUAGCAGUCCUGUGAUACUCAACCACAUGCUCUCGGCUAAAGGUUUUACAGUUCCAGAAUUCCUCAAUCUUAUUAAUUGCAAGGAGCCAUCUGUUUCAUUCGAAGAAUCUGCAAAUUUCUCAUCCCUGCGGUACCUGUCAUUAUAUAAUAGUGAAAUGAGGUCCCUGCCAAUAAAUCUGAAGUGUCUGUCCAGUCUGACAAAGCUUGGUAUCUACGGGUGCCCCAACAUAUCAUCUUUACCUGAUCUACCAUCCUCCCUUCAACAUAUAUGUGUUCGGCGUUGUGAGCGCUUGAAGGAGAGCUGCCAAACACCCGAUGGAGAAAGCUGGCCAAAGAUUGCGAGUAUCCGCUGCAAGGAAAUCGAAUGA